GCAGCAGCAAUCAGGCUCACUGGACUUACUUUUCAAGAAGUUAAGGAAGAUAACUGGAGAUGUGAUAACGAUACCAGAAGACUGAGAAGAAACUGACCCUCAUUAGAAAGAUGAUGGAGACCACAUUUCCCC